rnacentral:tRNA from 1 species
CGGGGCGUAGCGCAGUUUGGCUAGCGCGCCUGCCUUGGGAGCAGGAGGCCGGGGGUUCAAAUCCCUCCGCCCCGACCA